CCCUCUCCACUGUGCCCCCUAGGCUUGGGUGCCGCCCCCCUAGCCACCCCAGCUCCUAGGAAUGAUUGGAAUUCCAGGAGUAUGAUCCUUAGGUGCCCUGGGCGGCUCAUCCCUGGGAGGUGGGCAGGGUGUGGGGGUGGCCUCUGCACCCUUUGAUCCCUUGUUGAGUCUGCCUUCCCUUGCCUGCUUGGGCCCCUAGACGAGCACUGCCCUCUCUAGCAAACCCAAGGGCAUCCUGCUUGGCACCUGUCCCCCUCCAAGGGUCCAAAGGCAAGGGCCCUACCAGCUGGCACCCCCUGCAGAGGCCCUCCUUCCUGCCGCAGGCAUAAACCUUUCUUUGCCCAGGCUGGCCUGGGACCCAAACAAUGGGGCUUCUGUCCCGCCAGGUCUGCCGUCACCUUUUACCUCCCUAUUGUGCAACGCCCUCUCUUCAACAGGUUGGGCCCAGGCCAGAGGUCUCUACCAGCAAAGAGGAUAAAAGAGACUACACCUGGACAAACCCUCCCAGGCCCAGGCCUGAGCCUCACAUGUGGCCCCGGGGAAGGCAUCAGGGACUCCCUUUGCCCUCCCACUGACCUCCCUGCAAACCUCCCCCAAACCAAGGGGCAUCCUCAGCUGGCCAGACCCUGGGGGAAGGGAGAGAGCCGAGGAUCACCGGCACCUGUGGCUGGGUUACCCCUGCCAUGGACCACUGGGUGAUCAAGAAGUCAUUCCAAAAUGUGAAGCGUUCUGAAGAUAUGCACAUAGCGUAAGAACCUGGUGUAAUGUGCUGGUCAAGGCGGUCUCAGAGAGGAGAUGACGUUUGAGCUGACACCUGAGGGAUGAGAAGAAAGCAGCCAUUCCCAGGGCCCAGGGGAGGCAUCCCAGGAAGCCGGAUCAGCAUGAGCAAAAGCCCUGAGGCCUGGCACAAGUUGGUCUGCUUGAGAAGCAGGAGAGAGCCCUGAGCAUCCGGAGUGCAGCAAGCGAGAUGAGCAAGUCAAGAUGCAGAAGGACUCUCUGGCUUGUCCAAGGUCACACGGCUGUUAGGAGCAGAGCAGCGUCCUGGUGCCCAAGCCCUGAGGUCCCCAGCACACUGCCUCUGCAAUGGCCACAACUGUCCAAAGACUAAGCUGACUCUCACACCUGGUAGUGUCUGUGGUCAUUCACUGUGGAUGGAAGUGGAGAAAUGCAGAAAACAGAAACACAGCUUCCCCUUUUCUGUCAUAUUUCUGUAUCGUUGGUGUUUGGAGCCAGUUGAGCACAAAGGGCCCCUGAGUGCUGUUUCCUUGUGAUAUUUGGGGGUUAACAGCUUCCCCUCAUCUCUUAAUUACCUGCCCUCCUUCACUUCAGCUGCACAUUCGUUAAAGAAUGCUCUCCCAGGAGAAGAGCUUGGUGUUAUCACCCACAAACAUCUUAGAAAACUAAUGCUAUCCUUGAGUGCCUGUUUACAGAAACAUUUUUACAUCUCACUUGACAUUUCCAGCAAAUCUUGAUCCUUCCAGCCAGGAAUAUUAAUAUAUAGGUCUUGAAAAGUGCAAGAGGCUCUUCCAUGGCUCCAAGCACAUUUGACACUCUUCCUUUUCUGAUCCCCAAGCAGACAGUGAUGAAACCCCAAUAGCUGGGCGAAUACUCAUCCAACAGGAAGAAUCAGUUUUAAGAGCUGGGUUCUCAGGGUCAAAUACUGUGGUGUGGCCUUUUGGUUGUAAUGAGUUGAAUGGAGGUCUCAAAAAAGAUAUAUCCAUGUUCUAAUCCCCAGAACUUGUGAAUGUGACCUUAUUUGGAAAAAGAGUCCUUUUGGAUGUAAUUAAGUUAAGGAUUUUGAGAUAAGGAGAUCAUCCUGGGUUAUCUGGGUGGACCCUAAAUCUGUUGACAAUGUCCUUAUGAGAGACCCCAGAGGGCACAGACAGGAAAGGAAGAGGCAAUGUGGCCCCAGAGGCUGAGAUCAGAGCUCUGUGGCCACAAUUCGAGGAACACCUGGAGCCACCAGAAGCUGGAGGAGGCAAGGAACAGAUUCUCCCUGAUCCUCUGGAUACAGAGGGAGAAUAGCCUGGCCGACACCUUGAUUUUGGACUUCUGGCCCCCAGAACUGAGAAAAUUAACUUCUGUUGUGUUAAGCAGCCACGUUUGUAGCAGUUCAUCAUAGCAGCCCUGGGAAAGAAAUACAGUGGGCUUCCAGUUCAAGGAGGAUCCACGAGGCCUGAGCUCCAUCUGUCGAUUGGAAUCACCAAAAUCAAGGUUGUGUGCGGGUAACGCCAGCACAAGCAGCUCAUGCUGGCAAAAGCAGACCAAACCGGCUCACGCAACGUCAAGUCAUCUUGAAGUGGUUCACGCACCACAGUGAGUGGUAUUGAUUGUGGUUAAGAGCCAGGUUCAAGGAGGUUUAUCACUCAGUAGCCAGGUAAAGCAGGUUCCAGGCCUGGCUCCACCACUCAACAACCGGGGAAACAGGGGUAAGCUUCUUAAAUGCUCCGUGUCUCAGUUUCUCCAUGUGUAAAAUGAGGGCACUAAUAACAGUCCCUACCUGCAAGGUGGUUGUGAAGAUGAUAUGAAUUCAUAUAUGUAAGGCACUUGGAAUUGACAAUACUGACAUACCACAAAUACAAAAUAAGUGUCUGCCAUUAUUAAGCUAACCCAAAUCAAAACAGACACAGAUGAAUUCAGAAUACUCAAGUAGACUCAGAUAUGUUCAAAUGGAGCCCACCAGUUAAAACUAGCUGAGACCAGUGUAAACUGGCUCAAGCCUUUUGGGCCAAGCUGUACUAAAACCAGAUUAAAUCAGUCAAAACAGGAUUAGAAUAGUCAGUCUGGAAUCUCUACACGCACGCCUGCACAUUUGAGGGGUCUCUCUCCGCCCCCUCUGUACAUCAGAUUGAAUAGUAACAAACAGUCCCACAUCUCCCAAGAAUGAGCAUAAUGGACAAGCAGAGGGCCGCCAAUGUCCCCACCAGAACGAGCAUAAUGGACAGGCAGGGGGCCGCCGAUGUCCCCACCUAAGACAUGCAGACAUUUCCCUGUCGGAAACGCGCUCAGAUUCUUUACGGCAGGUCAAGGCUCAAAUAUCAGAAACCAAUUUCACUCACACUAACUAAACAAGAGACGGGAUCUGUGGUUCAGGAUCCUGAGGCACUCGUGAAACUCAUGGGUAGGAAGGUCAGCUGGAGCCAGUUAGUGUCUGGAAGGCUAUCAGAGCUCAAGGCCCCUCUCUCUGGCCCAUGGAGGGGAAUUAACUCCCUCAAAGGCAGGAGCUCAGUGAGCAGGAGGCUGGUAGGGAGGUGGGAGCUGCAGGUGACCGGUUAGAAGUCAGAGGCUGUUGUGGGGGGCAGCUUGCACCAGUGGACACAAGAGCCCCAACUUGUGGGCACUUGGAAGUCCCAGGCUGUUCCCUGGCUCCACCCCGUCCUCUGGGGUGCCUGCUUCACAGAGCACCAAUAAUGCGUUUGUGUCACUCUAUGUUUCCUGGCAGGAGCAGACCUGCAGAGGGGCCAGAAGACACCUGGCCGGGUGGGGAGCAGCCCCUCCGUAAUAACAAUCGGAACCUGGGAAGAUAAGUAGAGUCCCAGGGGAGGGACAGAGUUUCCCCUGUGUCACCACAUGGCUACUUUGACACAAAUGCACGUGGGCAGAGAGAGGCAUGCAGGUCAAGGGCCUGGCAGGGAGUCAGGGGCCCUCAGUGCCAGUCCUGGCUCUGCCUCUGCCUCUGACACGCCAUGUGACCUUGAGCAAGUCACCACCCUGUCUGGGCUUCGCUAACCCAUAUACGGAAUGAGAAGGUAUCGUCCCUGGUCACUGCAGGUUUUAAAUCAUGUAGUGAGAGAGAGCUCAUUUGGUCCAACUCUCUGCAACUGAAGGAAUGGAGACACCAAGGGGGAGUAAUCGGCCGCAGUGAUGAGUGGGUGGCAAAGGGAGCUAUCACUACCAUUGAUUAUCCAGCUACUUGUGCUUGAUAAACUCCCUCCUGGUGGAAUGGGCUUUCCCACAUCCAGCAGCACAAAUGCUGUGAGCAUCUACUACGGGCUGGGCACCUUCUCUGGGCUGGCACUUGACAUGGGUUAUCUCAUUUAACUCCCUAACAACCCUAUGUGGUAUUAUCAUCCCCAUUUCACAGGCGGCAAAACUGAAUCCCAGAGAGAAGACUCACUCAGACACAGCUAUCUGAACACUCUUUUCCAGUUCCCCUAGGGCAGCAGAGGAAGCAAGGUGGGGGGAAGCCAGUGGUCAAGGAUUCCAUGCGGAAUGUACCCUAGAAUUAACCCAUGGAGAGAGGGGUCUCGCUCUGUUGCCCAGGCUGUAGUACAAUGGUGCAAUCUCGGCUCACUGCAACCUCUGCCUCUGGGUUCAAGCGAUCCUUUGCCUCCGCCUCCUGAGUAGCUGGAAUUACAGGCAUGCACCAUGAUGCUUGGUUAAUUUUUGUAUUUUUAGUAGAGUCAGGGUUUUGCUAUGUUGGCCAGGCUGGGCUCCAACUUCUGGUCUCAAGUGAUCCACCCGCCUCGGGCUCCCAAAGUGCCAGGAUUACAGGCGUGAGCCACUAUGCCUGGCCAAAAGUGGCGAUGUGUUCUUAAUGCCCAUUUUCACAUAAAAGGUAAUAAUCUACCCACACCAUGCUGUACCUUGUUUGUUUUUUGUGUGUUUGUUUGUUUGUUUUUUGACAGAGUCUUGCUCUGUCAGCUAGGCUAGAGUGCAGUGGCACAAUCUCAGCGCGCUGCAACCUCCGCCUCCCGGGUUCAAGCGAUUAUCCUGCCUCAGCCUGCUGGGUAGUUGGAAUUACAGGAGCCUGCCACCAUGCCCAGCUAAUUUUUGUGCUUUUAAUAGAGAUGGGGUUUCACCAUGUUGGCCAGGCUGGUCUCGAACUCCUGACCUCAAGUGAUCCAUCCACCUUGGCCUCCCGAAGUGCUGGGAUUACAGGCGUGACCCACCGCGCCUGGCUCUUGUUUGUUUUUUUAACUAAUCACACAUCUUAGAGACCUUUAUCAGUAAUUAGAGAGCUUCCUGGAUCUUUUAUAUCACUGCAUAAUAAAUAUUCUAUUAUAUAGAUUAGAAUAAUUCAAAUUACCAGUUCCCUAUUGGUGGACAUUUGUUUCUGGUUUGUUUGUUUUUUCUAUUUUUUUUCUUAUCACAAACAGUGCUGCAAUAAGUAAUUGUGCAUAUGCACUGUUUCACAUGUGUGCAGGUAUACCUGCAGGAUAAAUUCCCAAAAAUGAAUUCCUGAUUUAAGAGUAUCUUUUUUUUUUUGAGACAGGGUCUUGAUCUGUUGCCCAGGCUAAAGUGCAGUGGCAUGAUCACGAUGCACUGCAGCCUCAGCCUCCUGGGCUCAAGCGAUCUUCCCACCUCAGCUUCCCAAGUAGCUGGGACUACAGGCAUGUGGCACCACGGCUGGUUAAUAUUCUCAGUGUAACAGAGUUUCAUCACAUUGCCCAGGCUGGUCUUGAACUCCUGGGCUCAAGCAAUCCUCCCACCUCAGCAUCCCAAAGUGCUGGGAUCACAGGCAUGUGCCACCAUGCCUGGCAGGUUGAAAGUACUGUAUGAGUUAUCUAUUGCUGCAUACCAGAUUAUCAUAAACUCAGCAGUUUAAAAAAACACCCAUUGUUUAGCUCACAGUCUCACCUGAACUGGGUGCUGAGUUCAGGGUGAAACCAAGGUGGCGGCCAGGCUUGGUUCUUUUUUGGAAGCUCUGGGGGGAAAAUCUACUUCCAAGGCCAUUCUUGUUGUUGGCAGAAUCUGGAUCCUUGUGGUUGUAGAACUGAGUCUCUGGUUUCUUGCAGGCUUCCAGGAGGGGCCUCCCUGGGCUCCCGGAGGACACCCACAGUCCUCACCAUGCAGCUCCCUCCAACAUCAAGCCAGGAAUGGCCGAACAGAUCUUUCUCAUGCUUCAAAUCUCUGAUGAAUUUCUCUUGCCAGAGAAAGCUUGCCAUUUUCCAAGGGCUCACCCAGUCAGAUCCGUCCAACAAGGGUGAUCUCCCUAACAUUAGGUUAACUGACUUGGAACCUCAGUUAAUCUGCAAAAUCCCUUUUGUCAUAUAAUGGAAUACAAUCAUUUGGUUCACAUGCUCAUCUUAUUCACAGGCCCUACACUCAUACAAGGGCAGGGGACCACAGAAGAGUGAAGGCCAGUGAGGGUCACCUCAGAAUUCUGCCCAACACCGGUGUUUUGUAAUUUGGGUAGAUGUUGCCAUGUUGUCCUCCGUGGGGAUUAUGCAGAGGGAACUCUCCUCCUCCAGCAACAGUACAUGUACCUGCUUUUCCAUGGUGCUGCUUAGAGAAUGUUAUCAAACCUUUGGAUUUCUGCCAGUCUGAUAGGAGAAAAAUGGAAUCUCAAUUGUAUUUUAAAAUUGUAAUUAUCGCCUUAUGAAUAAGGCUGAGCAUUUCCUCAAAAGCAUAAGAGCCAUUUAUAUACUUUUUUCUUUAUGGCUUCUGGUUUUGAGGCAUAGAAAGGUCUUUCUAGCUCUAAAGUUAAUCAGAAAUUCUCUGUUUUCUUUUUGCUUUUUUUAAAAUUUUACUUUAAGUCCUUGGAUACAUGUGCUGAACGUGCAGGUUUGUUACAUAGGUAUACAUGGGCCAUGGUGGUUUGCUGCACCUAUCAACCCGUCAUCUAGGUUUUAAGCUCCACAUGCAUUAGGUAUUUGUCCUAAUGCUCUUCCUCCUCUUUCCCCAUGCCCCCAACAGGCCCCGGUGUGUGAUGUUCCCCUCCCUGUGUCCAUGUGUUCUCAUUGUUUAGCUCCCACUUAUGAGUGAGAACAUGCAGUGUUUGGUUUUCUGUUCCUGUGUUAGUUUGCUGAGGAUGAUGGUUUUCAGCUUCAUCCAGGUCCCUGCAAAGGACAUGAACUCAUUCUUUUUUAUGGCUGCAUAGUAUUCCAAGUUGCAUAUGUGCCACAUUUUCUUUAUCCAGUGUAUCAUUGAUGGGCUUUUGGGUUGCUUCCAAGUCUUUGCUAUCGUAAGUAGUGCUGCAAUAAACAAAUGUAUGCAUGUGUCUUUAUAGUAGAAUGAUUUAUAAUCCUUUGGGUAUAUACCCAGUAAUGGGAUUGCUGGGUCAAAUGGUAUUUCUAGUUCUAGAUCCUCGAGGAGUCGCCACACUGUCUUCCACAAUGGUUGAGCUAAUUUACACUCCCACCAACAGUGUAAACGUGUUCCUAUUUCUCCACAUCCUCACCAGCAUUUGUUAUUUCCAGACUUUUUAAUGAUUGCCAUUCUAACUGGCAUGAGAUGGUAUCUCCUUGUGGUUUUGAUUUGCAUUUCUCAGCUCAUUGCAACCUCUGCCUCCCAGGUUCAAGCAAUUCUCCUGCCUCAGCCUCCAGAGUAGCUGGGAUUACAGGGGCACGCCACCAAGCCCAGCUAAUUUUUGUAUUUUUAGCAGAAACAGGGCUUCACCAUGUUGGCCAGUCUGGUCUCAAACUCCUGAUCUCAAGUGAUCCAUCCACCUCAGCCUCCCAAAGUGCUGGGAUUAUAGGCGUGAGCCACCACGGCUGGCCAUUCUCCUGUGUUUUCUUCUGGGGCUUUUAUACUUUCAUUUUUUAAAAUCCAUAGUUUCUUGGAGCUGGAGGUGUCCCUUGUCAUUUUCUCAUCAGUGAGUGCAAAGCAGGAUCCCAAAAGGAUUGGAGUCCAGAGUAGAGAAAGGAGCUGCCGCGGUGGAGUCUGUUCAGUGCAGGCUCUGAUCUCCUUCAGCCCUGCCAGGAAUCCCAGCCAGCAGAUCUUCUUCCAGCUUCCCUUUCUCCAGCACUCUUGAUCUUCUGGGCUGGCACAGGGUCCAGGGUUGAUGGGGAUCCUAGCUGCCUGAGGAGCUUCCAGUCUGGAGGGUGAUACAAGCACAUGGCCAGACCUGAAUUCAAGCCAUGAGAGAGAUUCAGAACCUGGGCUGGGAGCGCAGGGGAGGGAGCGGGGUGCUGAUGGGGGUGGAUGGGAGGCUCCAGAGAGGAGGUGGCGUCUGAACUGAACCUUAAGAAUGAGGGGAAAUGUAAUGGCAGCGAUGAGAAAGGGGAGGCACUUCAGUGCAGAGAACAGCAAGAGCAAAGACAAGGAGGUGGAAAAUCAGCCAGAAACCUAGCCUGGAGAGGGUUUAGUGGACCAUGGGUCCUUGAUGGUAGAGACACAACAUGACUUAUCUCUGUGUCCCAUCCUCUGUGCCAGAGGCGGCAUCGACCAGACUUGGACAAAUGAAGCAGAAGGGACAGGGGACUUAGAAUACUAGGCUGCAUCAUUUUCUUUUUACUCUGACAGUGAGAAGCAAAGACCUCCACAAAGAAAGAAGCCCUUGGCUGUGUCAUCAUUUUAGAAUCUGGGCACUCUCUGCACACCACUGCCCCCUCAUGGCUGAUCUAGGAAUUCUCUCUAAAUCCCAGACUGAAGGUGAGGAGGAGGCUCAGUGAGUCUUAGAGAUUUGAAAAGCCGUGAAAUCCUGGUUGGAGAACAUCUGAGUCCAAAGGGCCCUCAGAGACUCUCUGACUUCCUCAUUA
rnacentral:lncRNA from 10 species